rnacentral:rRNA from 1 species
UACGUAGGGACCAAGCGUUGUUCGGAUUUACUGGGCGUAAAGGGCGCGUAGGCGGCGCUGUAAGUCACUUGUGAAAUCUCCGGGCUUAACUCGGAACGGUCAAGUGAUACUGCAGUGCUAGAGUGCAGAAAGGGCAAUCGGAAUUCUUGGUGUAGCGGUGAAAUGCGUAGAUAUCAAGAGGAACACCUGAGGCGAAGGCGGGUUGCUAGGCUGACACUGACGCUGACAGCGCGAAAGCUGGGGGAGCGAACAGG